rnacentral:lncRNA from 1 species
CGCCCCGCCUGCCCCUCCGCGCGGCUCCCGGGCGACCGGCGCUCCCGCCUCCCGCCUUUCCCGCUGCUUGCCGGGUCCCGGCCCGGCGACGCGCGCUCACACCCUCCUCCCGAGCCGCCCUCACGCCGAGCGCUGCGGACGGGGGCGCGCAACCUGCCGCCGGCCGGGACCCUGCGGCGAGUGCCGGAACCCGGCCGGGCGGGGCCUCCCGCGGCCCGGCCGCUUUAUUGGGUCACCGGCCUCGCCCACCGCCCUGCCAGCCGCAGCCAUCUCGGCGGGCGCGCCGCUCGCAGCCAGCGCCCCAUCCCCAGGCCUGCACGUACGUCGUCGGCGAUCCGGGGCCGGGGGCGGCUCCGAGGUCGUCGGGGCCGGGGUCCCACCUCCUCUUGGAGGAAGCGCCGCCUCCCCACCCGCCCGGGGCCCUCGCCAAGUGGCUGCUAACAAAGCCCAGGGCCCGGCUGCGGGAUGGUUGACUGACAAAGUCAUGCCUGCCUAGCCAGCUUCCUCGUGCAGCACGGUGAAGGCUGGGGCGCCGGGUUUUUACUCCCACGUCCUGCCAACUCGAGCUGACAAGGCGGGCAAUCCACCAGCGGGAGCGUUGGCAGGCCCGGGGUCAGAUCCUGAUUCAGCCAGUUAAUUGCUCGUGGAUGGCAGAGCUGUGUGUUGUCCGUGGUCAGACACACAGGAAGUCUGAAUUGUUAUCCUGUUCUGCCACUGAAAUGUGUAAAAUAUAGGGGGAGUGUCCCAAGUCAUUUUCCUAAAAGCAUCAUCCAACUAUGAGCUGAACACUGCCCCGAGAAUGCAACAGAACUUCAGCUCUGUCCCAAGGUCGUCAGCCACAGCUCCAAGUUUCUUAGCAUCAGCUUUUUCUGAACAAAAUAGUGCAUCCUGCUGGAAUCACUACUGUAAACUGAGUAUAAAGGAAAAUAAACCCUCUUUUUCUUAUCCAC